AGGUCACUGCUAUCGGUGUCCGGAUUAAGCCAUGAGAGUCGUGAGGGGUAAAGCCCCUCGGCAUACUGCUCAGUAACACGUGGAUAAUCUACCCAAAGGUCUGGGAUAACCCCGGGAAACUGGGGAUAAACCCGGAUAGGCCAAUACGUCUGGAAUGUGUGUUGGCUGAAAGGCAUACGCGUUUGGAUGGGUCUGCGGCGGAUUAGGUAGACGCCGGUGUAACGUACCGGCGUCCCUGUAAUCCGUACGGGUUGUGGGAGCAAGAGCCCGGAGAUGGAUUCUGAGACACGAAUCCAGGCCCUACGGGGCGCAGCAGGCGCGAAAACUCUACAAUGCAGGCAACUGCGAUAGGGGGACAUCGAGUGGCACCCACCUUGGGUGUCUGUCCAACCGUCUAAAAAACGGUUGUUAGCAAGGGCCGGGUAAGACCGGUGCCAGCCGCCGCGGUAAUACCGGCGGCUCGAGUGGUGGCCGAUAUUAUUGAGUCUAAAGGGUCCGUAGCCGGCUUUGCAAGUCCUCUGGGAAAUCCAGCGGCUUAACCGUUGGGCUUCCAUGGGAAACUACAUUGCUUGGGACUGGGAGAGGUAGGAGGUACUCGAGGGGUAGGGGUGAAAUCCUGUAAUCCUUCGGGGACCACCGGUGGCGAAGGCGCCCUACCAGAACAGGUCCGACGGUGAGGGACGAAAGCUAGGGGCACGAACCGGAUUAGAUACCCGGGUAGUCCUAGCCGUAAACGAUGCCCGCUAGGUGUCACGGCGGUCGUGAAUCGCCGUGGUGCCGUAGGGAAGCCGCGAAGCGGGCCACUUGGGAAGUACGGCCGCAAGGCUGAAACUUAA
rnacentral:rRNA from 1 species